CGGGGCGUAGCUCAAUCGGGAGAGCGGCGAUGAGUAUUCUCAUGCGCAGUUGGAGGUUCGAGUCCUCCCGCCCCUACCA
rnacentral:tRNA from 1 species